rnacentral:rRNA from 1 species
GUCGUGCGAGAAGUAUCUUCGGAUAUGAGUAGAGCGGCGGACGGGUGAGUAACGCGUAGGAAUCUACCUAGUAGAAGGGGAUAGCCCGGGGAAACCCGGAUUAAUACCGUAUACCUCCUUCGGGAGAAAGAAGGCCUCUCUUUGAAGCUUUCGCUAUUAGAUGAGCCUGCGUAAGAUUAGCUUGUUGGUGAGGUAAAGGCUCACCAAGGCGACGAUCUUUAGCUGGUCUGAGAGGACGAUCAGCCACAUUGGGACUGAGACACGGCCCAGACUCCUACGGGAGGCAGCAGUGGGGAAUAUUGGACAAUGGGCGAAAGCCUGAUCCAGCCAUACCGCGUGUGUGAAGAAGGCCUUCGGGUUGUAAAGCACUUUAAGCAGGGAGAAAAAGUUAUAAGUUAAUACCUUAUAACCGUGAUGUUACCUGCAGAAUAAGCACCGGCUAAUUCCGUGCCAGCAGCCGCGGUAAUACGGAAGGUGCAAGCGUUAAUCGGAAUUACUGGGCGUAAAGCGCGCGUAGGUGGUUUGUUAAGUUGGAUGUGAAAGCCCUGGGCUCAACCUAGGAACUGCAUCCAAAACUAACUCACUAGAGUACGAUAGAGGGAGGUAGAAUUCAUAGUGUAGCGGUGGAAUGCGUAGAUAUUAUGAAGAAUACCAGUGGCGAAGGCGGCCUCCUGGAUCUGUACUGACACUGAGGUGCGAAAGCGUGGGUAGCGAACAGGAUUAGAUACCCUGGUAGUCCACGCCGUAAACGAUGACAACUAGCUGUUGGAAGACAAUGUUUUUCAGUGGCGCAGCUAACGUUUUAAGUUGUCCGCCUGGGGAGUACGGCCGCAAGGCUAAAACUCAAAUGAAUUGACGGGGACCCGCACAAGCGGUGGAGCAUGUGGUUUAAUUCGAUGCAACGCGAAAAACCUUACCUACUCUUGACAUACUUGGGAGCUCUUGUAAUGAGAGUGUGCCUUUUGGAACCAAGAUACAGGUGCUGCAUGGCUGUCGUCAGCUCGUGUCGUGAGAUGUUCCGUUAAGUCGGAUAACGAGCGCAACCCUUACCCUUAUUUGCCAGCGAUUCGGUCGGGA